AUGUAUCACUUCUGUCCCAGCCUGUUGGCCAGAACUGGCCCUUCCAUCCCUUUGACUUCACCAUUUGGGAAGCGUGGUGUUUCAUGUGCCCAGAGGAGAGAACAGAUGUUGUGGAGCACUGGUUUGCACAGUGUCCUGCAAAAUGUGUGGCUGGCCCUGAUUCCAGGGACCAAAGAACGACCGUUCACCUUCCAUAUUUCACAGAUGCGUCCACGUAGACAUUCACACAUAUGUGCACAAGUGUGCAUGUGUGUCUAUGUAUUUGUGACAGACAAGAAUGCUUUGCGUCUCUAGGAGUUCCUUAUUUUGAGCUCUACCGUGGAGCACAGGACUUUGGCUCCCCACAAAGUCUGUGAACCUUCUGGCCAGAUGUAAGCGCCUGUCUGUAUUGCCCUCCUUCUGGAGGUGAGGAGGAAGGUAAGCACUUCUGCCUACUGAGUCUGGUUUAUGUGAUUGAUGCUGGGACUUCUAAUUUCGAGGACAAACGAUCCAUUAGUGGAAAUGGG
rnacentral:lncRNA from 12 species